rnacentral:snRNA from 13 species
CAACUAACAACACACCUCUCAGGGCCUUGAUCAAGACCCGGUGAACAAUUUUUGGAGACCCUAUUCUUCGGAGUAGGGUG